rnacentral:rRNA from 1 species
ACAGCAGCCGCCACGGGAAUACAGAGGGUGCAAGCGUUAAUCGGAUUUACUGGGCGUAAAGGGCGCGUAGGUGGUUAUGUAAGUGAGAUGUGAAAUCCCCGGGCUCAACCUGGGAACUGCAUCUUAUACUGCGUAGCUGGAGUGCAGUAGAGGGUAGUGGAAUUUCCGGUGUAGCGGUGAAAUGCGUAGAUAUCGGAAGGAACACCAGUGGCGAAGGCGGCUACCUGGACUGACACUGACACUGAGGCGCGAAAGCGUGGGGAGCAAACAGGAUUAGAUACCCCCGUAGUCCCUGUCUCUUAUAC